AGAUUAAGUUAUUAAGGGCGCACGGUGGAUGCCUUGGCACUAGAAGCCGAUGAAGGACGUUACUAACGACGAUAUGCUUUGGGUAGCUGUAAGUAAGCGUUGAUCCAGAGAUUUCCGAAUGGGGGAACCCAGCAUGAGUUAUGUCAUGUUAUCGACAUGUGAAUUCAUAGCAUGUCAGAAGGCAGACCCGGAGAACUGAAACAUCUUAGUACCCGGAGGAAGAGAAAGAAAAAUCGAUUCCCUGAGUAGCGGCGAGCGAAACGGGAAGAGCCCAAACCAACAAGCUUGCUUGUUGGGGUUGUAGGACACUCUAUACGGAGUUACAAAAGAACAUGUUAGACGAAUCAUCUGGAAAGAUGAAUCAAAGAAGGUAAUAAUCCUGUAGUCGAAAACAUAUUCUCUCUUGAGUGGAUCCUGAGUACGACGGAGCACGUGAAAUUCCGUCGGAAUCUGGGAGGACCAUCUCCUAAGGCUAAAUACUCUCUAGUGACCGAUAGUGAACCAGUACCGUGAGGGAAAGGUGAAAAGUACCCCGGAAGGGGAGUGAAAGAGAACUUGAAACCGUGUGCUUACAAGUAGUCAGAGCCCGUUAAUGGGUGAUGGCGUGCCUUUUGUAGAAUGAACCGGCGAGUUACGAUCUGAUGCAAGGUUAAGCAGCAAAUGUGGAGCCGCAGCGAAAGCGAGUCUGAAUAGGGCGUUGAGUAUUUGGUCGUAGACCCGAAACCAGGUGAUCUACCCUUGGUCAGGUUGAAGUUCAGGUAACACUGAAUGGAGGACCGAACCGACUUACGUUGAAAAGUGAGCGGAUGAACUGAGGGUAGCGGAGAAAUUCCAAUCGAACUUGGAGAUAGCUGGUUCUCUCCGAAAUAGCUUUAGGGCUAGCCUCAAGUGAUGAUUAUUGGAGGUAGAGCACUGUUUGGACGAGGGGCCCCUCUCGGGUUACCGAAUUCAGACAAACU
rnacentral:rRNA from 1 species